rnacentral:rRNA from 1 species
UAUCUGCAGAAUUUUCCCUUAGAGUUUGAUCCUGGCUCAGGGUUAACGCUGGCGGCGCGCAUAACACAUGCUAGUCGAGCGAGGGCUUAUCUCCCGCAAGGGAGGCAAGUUCCUAGCGGCGAACGGGUGAGUAACACGUGGGCAACCUUUCCUAUCGCGGGGGAUAACACCGGGAAACCGAUGCUAAUACCGCAUGUCGUCACCGGUCGCAUGGCCGGUGAAGAAAGCAGCAAUGCACGAUGGGGUGGGCCCGCGGCCUAUCAGCUAGUCGGUGGGGUAACGGCCUACCGAGGCGAUGACGGGUAGCUGGUCUGAGAGGACGACCAGCCACACGGGGACUGAGACACGGCCCCGACUCCUACGGGAGGCAGCAGUGAGGAAUCUUCCGCAAUGGGCGAAAGCCUGACGGAGCGACGCCGCGUGUGGGAUGAAGUCUUUCGGGAUGUAAACCACUGUCGGAGGGGAAGACAUCGAC